AACGAACGCUGGCGGCGUGCCUAACACAUGCAAGUCGAACGAGAAAGGGGCUUCGGCUCCGAGUAAAGUGGCGCACGGGUGAGUAACACGUAGGUAACCUGCCUCUAAGAUUGGGAUAACAUGUCGAAAGACGUGCUAAUACCGAAUAAGACCACGGCUUCCUCGGAAGCAGGGGUCAAAGAUAGCCUCUACUUGUAAGCUAUCACUUAGAGAUGGGCCUGCGUACCAUUAGCUAGUUGUAGGUAAUGCCUACCAAGGCAAAGAUGGUUAGCUGGUCUGAGAGGAUGAUCAGCCACACUGGAACUGAGACACGGUCCAGACUCCUACGGGAGGCAGCAGUGGGGAAUAUUGCGCAAAUGGGCGAAAGCCUGACGCAGCAACGCCGCGUGAGUG
rnacentral:rRNA from 1 species